GCCUGAAGCUCCAAAGCCCCAGCUCCAGAUGCUGGGGGGGCCCCGACCCCGCAGAGCCCCCAGCACAGAGGAGCCAGAUGAGGACCGGGCCCCAGCAGGUGCCACCUCUGCCCCCAAGCCCUCCGUAAGCCACCACAGUUGCGCCCGGUGCCCCAGGGGGACCCAGCCAACGCGCUCUGGGAGCUCCACGGACACCCAUCUCCGCCUUCUGCCUGGGAAAGCACAAGGGCCAGCAGAGCCCGGGGAUGGGGGCCACCUUUGGGUCUCCCAGCAGAAAGCAAACCCAGCACCCCCUGCCCCCCGUCUCCGUGUGUCCGUCCAGAGCUCCAGGGGAGGCAGCUGCCAGGCCUGAAGCCGCCCAAUCCGAGUGUGAAAGGGCAAGGAUCCCCGAGCUCCUGUAGUGAUGAAAGUGGUGGGAAGAGAGGACAUCCUGUGAAUCUGGCGUCUACACCAGGAGCAAGAAGAAAGGAGGGAGCCUGGCCUGGUGGACAUGCAAGGAGUCAGCGCGGGCCACUGGGGACAGUGCCAUCAGAAAGCACGGAACCUCUGGGCUCUUUCUUUUUGCCAAAUCUAUACUUGCCCCCCCGGGGCACCUCCUCACUUAAUAGAUGUUUCAACAUUAGCAUUUAAGAAUGUGUUUCACUUUACACAUGGUCCUUUGAUAAAUAUUUCUUAAAUGAGGGGCGCCUGGGUGACUCAGUCGCUUGUGUCCAACUCUUGAUUUCGGCUCAGGUC